rnacentral:rRNA from 1 species
UACGGGGGGGAGCAAGCGUUGUUCGGAUUUACUGGGCGUAAAGGGCGCGUAGGCGGUCAGCACAAGUCAGUUGUGAAAUCUCCGGGCUUAACUCGGAAAGGUCAACUGAUACUGUGCGACUAGAGUGCAGAAGGGGCAACUGGAAUUCUCGGUGUAGCGGUGAAAUGCGUAGAUAUCGAGAGGAACACCGGUGGCGAAGGCGGCGAUCUGGACGAUGACUGACGCUGAGACGCGAAAGCGUGGGGAGCAAACAGG